GCAUUGUAAUCUCAAGAAGUGUUUUCCGCUUCGGACCAUGCCUAAGUCCCUUGGAAAAGGGCAUCAUAGAGGGUGAUAAUCCCGUACAUGGCAUGGAGCGCCCGAAGCUUUGUGAUACGCUUUCUAAGAGUCGAGUUGUUUGGGAAUGCAGCUCAAAAUGGGUGGUAAAUGCCAUCUAAGGCUAAAUAUUGGGGAGAGACCGAUAGCGAACAAGUACAGUGAUGGAAAGAUGAAAAGAACUUUGAAAAGAGAGUUAAACAGUACGUGAAAUUGCCAAAAGGGAAGGGUAGGAGGUCAGAGAUGCGGCCUGGGAUUCAGCCUUGCUUUUGCUUGGUGUUUUUCCCAGAUUGCAGGCCAACGUCGGUUUUGGGCACUGGAGAAGGGUAGGAGGAACGUGGCACCUCUCGGGGUGUGUUAUAGCCUCCUACUGGAUACAGCGACCGAGACCGAGGACAGCAGCGUACUCGCAAGAGCGGGCCUUCGGGCACCUUUACGCUUAGGGCGUUGGCAUAAUGGCCCUCUACCAC
rnacentral:rRNA from 1 species